rnacentral:lncRNA from 1 species
AUAUUUUAUAGCAGGGAUGGUGAUUGCCGCUUAAACUUUAUUUACUUAUCAAAUAUUAAAAGUAGGAUCAAAAUUUUAAUUUUUCAAGACCUUUACCUUAAAGAUCCUUUUACUACGAUAACUCCUAUUAUAAAUACUGUAGACUAAGAAACAAAGGGAAAAUUAAUAGACCUGUUAAGACCUCAAUGUGUUCUAAGCACCUCCAAAUAAAACUGUUUAACAAGCAUGUUCUGCUGCUAAGGAAACCGAAACAUACAUUUAUUUAACAUUAUUGCUGAAUUUGUUUUGCCAUGUGGCCAAAGCUAUAAAUUAGCCUGGCCAGACAAAAAUAUAUGGGACCAAAUUUAUUUUUACUGUAUACAGUUUGAUCACUCAAACUAAUGGUGAUAAAGUUAAUAUGUAUCUUAUUAAAACUAUUUAGAUCUGUGUCCACAUUACAAUUGUUAACUUGUAUAGUUAGAUAGCCUCACUUCUGUACAAGGUGUUAGUUAUCAAUGUGCCUAUUGAACUUGCCUACAGUUAUUGAAUAUGGCUUUAUAGAAUGGAACUAUGAUGGCCCGAUAGAUUUAUUUACAAGAAGGUUCUGGACUACCUUUAAGAGGAAUUAUAGGGGAAAGGGACAUUUAAAAAAAAAAAAAAAAAAGUUAUUACAUUUUAAAAUUAUUCACAGAUGCAGUGUUUAGUAGGUCUGCAUGCAGCUAUAGGCAGACGUCCCAUUUAACUGAGAAGAGACCUCCAAUAACUGUAAGUGUCACAUUCUGCUCUGUGAGGUCUUUUCUUAUUCUAUUCACCUCUGUCCAGCAGCGAUUUAUGAGAUAAGAAGUUCAUCCACCCAAGAGCUGUUUGAUAGCGACCAUACCAUGGCUGCUAUUGGUUUAUACAUUGCCUGCUUCAAUGUUUAAUAAACAGGGUUAUGUGUACUGAUAGUGCUUCAGUCUCUGAAUUGGUUUCUCGCUCUUGGAUUGGACACUACUUUUUUUUUUUUUUUUUUUUUGAGGGGGCAAAAUGUAUGUAUUUAUUUUUAUGAAACACUGAUGUUUUAAGCCACUGGGAGGUGGUGUAGGGUAUUCUCUUUACAAUUAACUUAUCAGAUAUGCAAAGUUGUGAUGAUGUGUAGACUGACCCUUUAACCCCUUAAGGACCAAACUUCUGGAAUAAAAGGGAAUCAUGACAUGUCACACAUGUCAUGUGUCCUUAAGGGGUUAAAUAUUGAAAUAUUUAUUGAUAGCUGUAGCUUGCUCUUAUGGCUCAUUUCCUCACUAUCGCCACUCACAUGAGUAAUGAUCUUUUAUCAUAUAUUAUUGUUCUAGACCAACACCAUUGUAUUCAUAUAAGACUACAGUGCCCUUAAUACUCCAUCAGUCCUAAAAUGAGAAGGGGGGGAGUGGAACGAUAAUUAAUGCCUCUGAAUGUGCCUAACUUAAAUUUUUAGUUCAUUCUGAACAGCAAUCUAUGCAUGAUGUUCUUGUUGUUUUGUUAUUUGUUCAUGUUGUAUCCGCAUAUCAUGAGUUCCAAAUAAAUUCUACAGAUUACUUUUCAUAAUUCCUGGCUUUGCUACUGUUUGUGUUGUUUGUUUGUUUGUUUGUAUUUACUUUUUACUUGAAUUUUGAUUUUAAAGUACUCAGCUGUGAAGGGAUUAAACGUGUAUUUAUGUAUGUUCUGGUGUAACUGACAUUUAACAUUCAGUUGCUUUAUGAAGUAAAUUGUACAUACAUGUUUGCCUGUGAGAG